CAGCCGCCGCGGUAAUACGAGGGGGGCAAGCGUUGUUCGGAAUUAUUGGGCGUAAAGGGUGCGUAGGCGGUUCAGCAAGACUCGUGUGAAAUCUUCUGGCUCAACCCGAAGUCUGCACGGGAAACUACUGGGCUUGAGUAAUGGAGAGGUGAGUGGAAUUUCCGGUGUAGCGGUGAAAUGCGUAGAUAUCGGAAGGAACACCUGUGGCGAAAGCGGCUCACUGGACAUUUACUGACGCUGAUGCACGAAAGCUAGGGGAGCAAACAGGAUUAGAUACCCCUGUAGUCCCUGUCCUUAUACA
rnacentral:rRNA from 1 species